UAUGGAUAUUGAUUUAUCCUAUUUAUUUCUUAUAAAAAGUUAAAUCAUAAACAACUUCUCCUAAAACACCUAAAUUGGGGGAAUCGAGUGAAAAAUCUACUAAAGAAAAGAUUCUAGAUCUUGCUCAUCAACAUAUUUUCUCAUCUUCUAAGUAGGUAAAAGGUUGGAAAAGGGGUGUGUGUUCAAAUCUACUUAAAAAUUGGAGAUAGUUGGGCCAUAUAUCAAAAUUGGACACUAGAUUGGAAUAGAAAAACCCCAGAUUUCUCCUCUCACAUACGGAAGGAAUACAUUUUGGAGCCCUAAUCUCCAUAUAGCGAAGUUGUCUAUAAUGGAAAUGCUGGAUUGUUUAUAGUAAUUGAAGCUGAAAGUAGGUUGGAGUUCAAUGAUCAGAUUCCACUUCUAAGGCACUCUUUUCUCUUUCUUUAGUGCUAUAUUUUAAUUAUAUGACCCGAUUUGUGUUGUUUAUGGUGUUGUAAUUAUCAGAUUUGAAAGGAAGAACUAGGUGGCGACACACCUGAUUUUAUAACUGUGAGAUCAUACUGGUGAGAUUAUUUAAUACUAUUGUACGUACAACGAUAAUAAAAUGAGGGAUUUUUUCCUUACAUUUUUUUGUUCCAUAAUUCAUAGAAUUACAGAGGCUGAAUCCUAAUUAAAGGCGAAGUGAAAAAGUUUACAUAGGUUGUUGUACUGGAUAUGGGGAAAGUCGACCAAUAGAAGCUUUAAAACUACUUCAUAAGGUGAGGGAGUUAGAUUAUUUAGUGUUGGAAUUCCUAGAAGAGCUCACCCUUGCUGAACGUUUUCAGGUCAUAAGAUCAAGUGGCAAGGGUUAUGAUCCCCAUACUGUGAUUCCUUAUUAAAUAGUUAUUUUUGUUUCAAUAUAUAUAUAUAUAGACAUUUCAAGUUCCUUUAGCUGAUUCAUCUACUCGUCAGUAUGCUAGAAGUGUGAUAAUUUUCUUGUUUGAUGAUAAUUGAUAACUAUUAGUGUUGUACAAUCUCAAAGUGGAUGCAACUGAUCUUACCUUUUAUUGCGGAGAAUGGAGUUUUCAAUAUUACAAACAUGAGUGCGAGUAUGUGAUAUGCCUAGAUUUUUCUUUGGUUUUCUGUAUUGCUUUUUCUCCAGCAAAUAAAUAUGUUCUCUUUGACAAUAUGGAGAAUAGAUGAUCCAUUUGACACUCAGGAUGAAGUCUUACAACUUGCAAGCAAAUUGGGAAUUUCCAUAACUAUUGGUCUAGCUCAUCAAGUUGUUAUUAGAUCAGCUUGCAAGUUGUAUUGAUAAAGAGCAUUAGUUAAAGGAAAGAGCAUCCCAGGAAAGGUGAAAACAAUUUGUUCCUUCCUGCUCAUGUUAAGCAAUCUGUCUACAUCUGUCUAUCCAAAAGAUCAUCCAAGAAACUAUCCUUGAAGAAAGUAUGGAGUAGAUAUAAGUGACUCACAUGUUUAUGAACAAGUUGAAGAACAAGAGAGACCCAUUCCUUUUUUUAGUUGUUUAAAGAUGUCCCCUUCCGUACAUGUCACAAUUCCUUUUUUCACUUCUAUAAUGAGUUAGACAAUACAAUGUUUUACAAGUAGAAUUAGUAUAUUCUUUGGCAUUGAUGCUUAGUUCUUUUGUAAUGAACUACAAAUUUUUAUAUG